rnacentral:lncRNA from 1 species
AGGACUCAAACCAAACUGUGUACAGUUGUAGGGCUUAUUGAGGGCAGAAAACUUCUCCACAGCAGGUCUCUGGCAACCCAGAGCCCCUCCCUGCACUCCUGCGUCCCUGUCACUGCACCCAUAGAGCCCCCAAGAGGCCUCAGUGGAUCACCGGGCUUGCAUAAUUUUUAUCUGGGCAUACAUUACCAAAUUACCUCCACCCCAAAAAUACCGUUCCAGGUUUCCUGUUACUAUACGGAAACACUGAUGUACAUCAUCAGCCUGUGUUCAUUUUGUAUACUCUCCAUAUAGUGGGUGGGUUGUUUUGGGAUUUUGGUUUUUUUUUUUUUUGCAACCUAAAAGCUAAAAUACUUUUCAUGUUUAAAACUGAAAUUCAUAUGCAUGGACAGGACAUUUUUAAAAGUAAAUAUUUCAUGGGUAUUUGUCAACAGAAUCUUAUGGUUGAUAAUUUUGUAAACGAUUUAACCCAUCAUUUCAUGUGAAUAAAUUAAGAUUUGAAUAUCUAUAGGUAGCAUAAGGUGAAAAACCUCUAAAAUUUGAACCCGUAUUCUGGGAUGGGAGACCUUAGGCAAAUUAACCUGUCUGAGCUUCAGUUUUCUCAUUUGUAAGAAGGGGAUGUAAUAUCUGUGUUCCAGGAUUGUGGCGGAGAUCAGAGGAGGUCAUCUACCAAAAAGCCCCCACCAUCCUCACAAAAUACCAUUAUUCUCAUCAUUUCAUUCUUAGGUUGACUUAAAUAGGGAAUACAAAUGUAUUUACAUAUUCUUAUUAAAUUCUUAACAAUCUGAUAAUUUAUUCAAAUCCAAAUCAUAUGUAGAUAAUAAAAUUAUCUACUGUGCAUAAAACCAUUAGAAAAGAAUGACUCAAUAACUAUCACCUGACAUUUUAUUUAACAUGAUAUAGUGCGAUAGUCUCGGCACAAAGUGACCUUAACUGCUUCCAAAUUCCUUCCUUAUUUUUCCUGUAACAAAUCAUAUGGUGAAGGAAGACCUUCAUCAGGGUCACGUAACUUGGAGGAGCUUCUUGGGGGAAGUGCACAGGCAUCUCUGCGGGCUGUGGAGGAAAAGGCCCCGGAAUUGGCCCCAGUGGGGCUUUUUCCCAAGAGGAUCUGUCCCGUUUCCCUGUUCAUGUGUUGCGUCCUCAGUAGCUGGGACCCCAUUUUCUCUGUCGUAUCCCACCCCCAACACCUGACCAACUCAAAUCAGCACAUAUAUUUUAAACAGGUAGUGGAUAUCCAACACUGUGUCAGGGCAUGGAGAAAAUGGAAAAGAAACCAAAAUUGUGGUCCUAGUGCUGAGACACAGGUAAUCUCAUCAAGCAAUUUGGGCAGAGGCUGAGUUACCUGGAUAUUAUUGCUGGUAUCUGAAUUUCUUAAUAUAAGUUCCAGAAAGCCUGGUAACUUUUAGAAGAGUAUAUGGUAUAGCAAGGAAAGUGAA